rnacentral:misc_RNA from 1 species
AUCCAAAUCAUCAUGGCGUAAACUAUUUGGAUGAGGAUGUGUCUGCAGAAAGCAUUUCUAAAGAGCAACUACCAACAGAAAAAUACUAGCAUUAUAUUAGGCUCAGAUAUGCGUCUGAUCGUUCUAUGAGGUGCUUAAAUCAUUUUCUUUUGCAGCUGGUUCCUCCUGAAGUUUCUUCUUCCAAUAUUCAUCAAGUGGUUGUGCAAAUAUAGCUUUCCCAGAUACAACGCCAAUUAUAACUGCGCCAAUUACCAGCGGAAACGACAAAAAUCUUCUCCUGAACAUCUUCCCUUUAUCUUCUCCUAAUCUUCUCUCUCUCUCAGUCCAGUAGUUUCCGUCUUGAG